rnacentral:rRNA from 1 species
GACGAACGCUGGCGGCGUGCUUAACACAUGCAAGUCGAACGGAAAGGCCCUGCUUUUGUGGGGUGCUCGAGUGGCGAACGGGUGAGUAACACGUGAGUAACCUGCCCUUGACUUUGGGAUAACUUCAGGAAACUGGGGCUAAUACCGGAUAGGAGCUCCUGCUGCAUGGUGGGGGUUGGAAAGUGUCGGCGGUUGGGGAUGGACUCGCGGCUUAUCCGCUUGUUGGUGGGGUUGUGGCUUACCAAGGCUUUGACGGGUAGCCGGCCUGAGAGGGUGACCGGCCACAUUGGGACUGAGAGACGGCCCAGACUCCUACGGGAGGCAGCAGUGGGGAAUAUUGCACAAUGGGCGGAAGCCUGAUGCAGCAACGCCGCGUGCGGGAUGACGGCCUUCGGGUUGUAAACCGCUUUCGCCUGUGACGAAGCGUGAGUGACGGUAAUGGGUAAAGAAGCACCGGCUAACUACGUG